GAAUUAUGAUCUCCCAUAGACUCAAAACCAAACAAUUUGGGAGUGGACUGGUGAUUAAACUAGACAAAAAAUUAAUCGAAUUAGAGGGACAAUCAAAUAUUACUUAACUUUCUUGUGUGGCUGAAUGAAUAAAGGACACUUCCCAGUCGUUUAACAUUGCUUUUCGUUAUAGGAACAACGCAGCUCUUAGUGAUGAGACCAGUGGAGUGGGAUGAAUCUCCAUGUCAUUGGUUCGAAUCCUAGAGCUGCACAAUGGUGGCGGUGGUACUGUGAUCAUGAAUAUGAUGAUGAUGAUGAUGACGACGACUACUUCCCUGCAGAAUUGAGGUAUUCAAAAAUACCUCCCUUUUAUUUUUAUUAAAAUGCUGCCGGCAGAAGAAAAUAGACUUGACCCAUUCAAUUAUCAAAUUCAGGUGAGCUUGUACAUGUUCACAUACACCAUCUGAUAGUACCUGCAAAAAAAGUAGACCUAAUGGACUCUGACAUUUAAAGUUAUGUGUGUUAGUGGGUUGACUGCAUACUGAGUGGGUUCCAUUAUGUAGUAUUGGAGAAGGUAAUGCUUUUGGUCAAAGCUUGUUUUCUUCAGUUCUUCCAUCUUGUUUGCGUGUCAAAGCAUUCUUAAGAAGCUGAUCUAGGAAAUCAAACAAACAAUGUGAUGAAAGAAUCUUUUCAUUGAUUUGGAUCACACGCUUGCAGCUGGACCUUUGAAAUGAAGAACACUUUAUAAAUAGGCAUACCUCCCCUUGCUGAAACCUUCAGAGUAGCAAGUUCCUUAUUAAAUCCCUCCAUUUCAAGUCAUGGUGAAAGAAGUAACUCUGCUUGGUCACCUGAGGAAGCCACAGAUUCAGCAACUGCAGAAGCAUCUUGAUUAUAGCAUCUGUGUUUGAAAGAAGAUCAACAAGGGAAUGGUAGCCGUAUCCAUCUAUUUAUUUUCCUGAAUAAAUAGCAUCAUGUCCCAGAACAAUGGAUCAGUACACAGGCCAUCCUUCUUAUUAUAACUUAUGGCAAGAAACAGGCAGACUCCUUUCUCUACGAAGUAGUUGAAUGUGUAAAUUGCAGCGUACGUACCCUCUUAAAAGUGAUCCAUAUUGUGUCGCAGGAAAAUUGGACUCUUCCCAGAGUUUGUGCAGACCUGAGUCAACAAAGAGUACAAUGAUCUCAGCUUCACCAGGAUGUAUAUUGAACUGACGUGAAAACAAGCAGGCACAAUUUGUCAAUUUGAG
rnacentral:lncRNA from 1 species